AACGAACGCUGGCGGCAUGCCUAACACAUGCAAGUCGAACGAAGCCUUCGGGCUUAGUGGCGCACGGGUGCGUAACGCGUGGGAAUCUGCCCUUGGGUUCGGAAUAACAGUUAGAAAUGACUGCUAAUACCGGACGAUGUCUUCGGACCAAAGAUUUAUCGCCCAAGGAUGAGCCCGCGUCGGAUUAGCUAGUUGGUGAGGUAAAGGCUCACCAAGGCGACGAUCCGUAGCUGGUCUGAGAGGAUGAUCAGCCACACUGGGACUGAGACACGGCCCAGACUCCUACGGGAGGCAGCAGUGGGGAAUAUUGGACAAUGGGCGAAAGCCUGAUCCAGCAAUGCCGCGUGAGUGAUGAAGGCCUUAGGGUUGUAAAGCUCUUUUACCUGGGAUGAUAAUGACAGUACCGGGAGAAUAAGCCCCGGCUAACUCCGUGCCAGCCGCCGCCGUAAUAC
rnacentral:rRNA from 1 species